rnacentral:snRNA from 1 species
GGAGUUGAGGGCAAUCCCCUUGGAAUACUGUCACUCCAUUGAGCAAGGGGUUUGACUAGGCUGAUCUGAUUGGCUAAGCCUGUGUUCACUUCCUCUCUCACCUCUCCAUUGCAUCCUCUUGAAUCUAUGCACUCAAUCAAAGAGGCUGAUCUACCAUUCCAACCCAGUUGACACAGCCUCUGCUUAGAGGGUAUAGAAGGAGCUGUACUCCGCUUCUAGAACCUUCUAGCAUGGUAUAACAAAAGAUGCAGCUCUGGUUCUGAUUUUCAUAAAAACUACUCCUUAGGGUAAUUGGACAUGGAAGGAAGGUAGAAAGUCCUGCAUU